CACUGUAAAUUCAAAGGAGUCGUUUUGACCCCUUGGGGUCAUUUCGGUCCCUUGUGUUGAAGGGUAGUUUUGACUCCUCGGAAGGGUCGUUUUAUAUAAGAGGGGCGUUUUGGCCCCACGAUGGGCUAAAAUGACUCCUCGAGGGAGUCGCGCGACCCUUCCUGAAGAGUACAUUGGCUCCUUGAGGGGUAGUUGCUCGUUCAUAGAAGACCGCGCAUUUUUUUUAUGAGCCCUCCCUCUUCUACGCCAGCAGCAUACUUUGUAAGAGCACUUGCAAAUCGACAAUGAUAUAUUUAUAUUGCUAUAUUUUUACUAUUUAUACUGCUGUUUGCAAAGUCGAAUAAAAUCCACUGGAGUUUGUCAGGUAGGAUACAGACCGUCCUCUGGUAGUAGUCAGAGUAGAAUAUAUAAAAAAUCGUUGGACAUUGGCCAGCCAGAAUAUACAAUAGAAUACAAUUCCCCAUGUGUGGCGACGAAUAUGGAUUUUAAACCCUUCGUAAUUCUUAUACGAAGCUCCGCAUCCACGAACUUUGCAAGCUACAAAAAAAUUUGGAUCGUGGCGAUAGCAUCGACCGUAAUGAUUGAAUAUUGUGGCAAUUUCACGUGCUACAAAUGGCACACGAUUGCCUCUGCACAUUUCACAUUCUCGUCAAAUUAAUCUAUUAUGAGUUUUUAUUUGCUGCGUAAAUUAAUCUGUAAUUUGAACUUAUGGAAUGUUCUAUUGCGGAAUAUAAUUUGCGACAAGUGGAAGUUCCAGAAUUUCAACUAUUUUUUAACCAAUUAACAUGCUUAGAAUAUAUCACGUGUUGUAGUAAUUCGAUCUGUUGAUAACAAGCGCUAUGUUCGAUCUUUUGGGAGCAAACAUUCAAAGAGUAAAGAAUUUUUAUUCAAAUUUUCUACUUAUAAAGUUCCAAAGACCUAAUGAAAUACAUGGAAUUUGUUUUCAAAGGUAUGUCUCUUGUGUAUUUACUCAUUUGUAUGCGGAUAGUUACUUGAUAUAAUGUAUAGUUAUGUUUUUAAAUCGAAGGCCUGUAUUUGUAUUAAUUCUUUUUCACCGAAGGCAUCUAAACGUUCAGUUGUAAAUAAAAUUUUCGAUUAGUUUUUAUUAGCAGAAGUGUAUAAAUCUAAUCUACACUCUACUUAUUUGUGUUUUAAGGAAAUCGUAUAGCUUAUUUGUGUGAUAUACAUGUAUGUUAUAUUUCCUGUGAAAUAUUUGCCAUUUAUAGUUGACAUGUAUACUUACAAAUCACAUAAAUAUAAUGUGAUUUGUUUGAAGUCACAUUAAUAGCAUAUAGAUAGCAUUGUAAUGGCCCGUCUCCCAAUAUUACCCAAUGUAUGGCAUGUGCUUGCUAUGGUAACCCUCCAUCGGUCACCCUAAAACAUGUGUGAGGGGCUGCUUAUAUGGUCAAUAUGGAGGAAAGCCAGCCCAGGUAACCCGGCUAUAGCUUGCUUUCCCUGGAUGAAUGUCUGUUUACAUGAGCCUCUUUAGAUGGGUAGGCUCACCAAAUUGAAUCACCCAGACUGAGUUAUAUAAUAGAAGCACAUUUUCCAAUAACCAACAUCUUACUUUUGCAGACAGUUUCGAAAUGUAACUGACAAAAACAAUUGCUGAGAUAUUUUAACGCUUUAAGUGGCAAUGCGCCCUACUUUAUUAUUUUACUUUGUUUAACAUCAGACAAUUUUUCUCGUCAGGGGGAGAAUCUGCCCCUCAAUGGGUUAAUCAGACUAUCUGCCUAUAGGAUGCACCCUGUUUACCCUGUAAGUGGCAAUGUGCCCAGAUGUGCCCUACUUUAUUAUUUUAGUCUGUCUUACGCCUGACGAUAUUACUCGUCAGGGGGAGAGUGCUUGAAUCCAGUACAUGCACUACAAAAAAAUUAUCCGACAAUAAAAACAUAAACUUAAAGAUGCCCAGAUUUUUGUGGCAAGGUAACUUGCCCAAUUGGGCAAGCAAGAUAAAACAUUUACUUGCCCGUCAUGAAUUUCACUUGCCCCGGGCAAGUGGGCAAGUGUUAAGUUACACCUCUGCUUGCUUUGUAUACUAGAAAACAACCAAAAAUAGCAAAUUCAUUGUCACUCAAUCAAUAAUUUGCUUCUGUUAUAUAUCAACCUUAUAUAUUUUUUCUUAAUUAAUAGUGGUUGUAUUUAAUAUGGAUUCAUUAUAUAUUGUGAUGCUGAAUGAAAAGUUAUCGAAGCAUCGCAGGAGAAGGCAAGUCAUCUAAACAAGUGGCAAUAUAUAUAAUCAUUGAUGGCAUUCUAAGUACUUUAUGGUCUAUUUGGAAAAUGUUAUUCUUUUGCUGGAGAGCAUGUUUAUGGAUUACCAAACCACGCAAGGAAAGGACUAGGAGUUGCCGACUGGUGGUAUAGUACAGCUUGUUUUGUACUAAAAUUUAACUAAUGAACUUGCUCGACAUAUAUAUGCUUGAUUGAGUACUGACAAUGCACGCAGUGUAUUUUACUUGUAAGUAGUCAAGAUUGAACAGAAUGUUUAACCCUUUAAGUGGCAAUGUGCUCUACUUUAUUAUAUUAUUAUUUUGUGUCCAAUGCCAGGUAUGCUGCCACUCAAUGGGUUAAAGUCUUUCUGUAGAUGGAAAUAUUGAACAAUAACUAUGUAAUAGCUGUUGUGCCGGGAAUGGAACCCCUGUGAUUCAGAUCAGCUCCUUAAUUGCAAAGAGUACAUUAAGCCCCAAGAGUCAAUGGAGAGUUUAUGUAUAUAAUACUAGUGUCAUCCCACUUUAUUUAUUAUAUAUAAUAAUACUACCACUGACACCACCAUGGUUUAUAUAUGUGCAGCAACUUGUGGUGACCUCUUGGCAAACAGACACUUUAAGUCAGAGGGCUGCAGUAGAAUUGCAGGGCUGCAGGUUCAGUUUGUGCUGGCAGACUUGCAAUUGCUCUCAGUUAUUUGAAGUUUGUUCGUUCACUGCAACCAGGUAUAUCAAUCGUGUUUUGCUCGCUACUCUGGUUUAAAUAAAUGAUUACAAAGCCCAGUCGAAUUGUAAUCAAGACCCAACGUUUUGACACUCCAGUCUAGUGUCUUCUCUAGGGGUGAUCUAAGGUUGCAAUUGUGGUUUCUUAAAUACCCAAGGGAUGACAUCACCUGCCAAUGAGAUGCAUGUAUUCCUCUGGCAAAUAGGCACCGUUAUCCCUAUUCACAGCGUAAUUACUCAUAUUUAUAUGUCAUGCUUCUAGGCAUAGUCUUUGACCAUUGCGAUUGUUUGUGGCAAUUACUUUAGAGUUUUCCCAUACAAUCUUGUGUUUGGUGUCACACACAUGUUCUGCUAAAGCUGAUUUUCCCUUGUUUAAAGUUGAAACAGUCUUUUGAUGUUCUUUUAGCCAUGUACAAAACUGGUGAUUACACUGACCCAAAUACUCUUUCUCGCAGUCACCGCAUGGUAUAGAAUAUACAGUAUGAGUUUUCUGAUUUGUUUUAACAGGAUCUUUUGGCUUUGCAAAAAUAUGGCUUAAUGUCAAAUAGGGUU
rnacentral:lncRNA from 1 species